rnacentral:rRNA from 1 species
UCGGGAAUUUUGGGCAAUGGGCGAAAGCCUGACCCAGCAACGCCGCGUGAGGGAUGAAGUAUUUCGGUAUGUAAACCUCGAAAGAAUGGGAAGAAUAAAUGACGGUACCAUUUAUAAGCUCCGGCUAACUACGUGCCAGCAGCCGCGGUAAUACGUAGGGAGCAAGCGUUGUUCGGAUUUACUGGGCGUAAAGGGCGCGUAGGCGGCGCGGUAAGUCACUUGUGAAAUCUCUGAGCUUAACUCAGAACGGCCAAGUGAUACUGCUGUGCUAGAGUGCGGAAGAGGCAACCGGAAUUCUUGGUGUAGCGGUGAAAUGCGUAGAUAUCAAGAGGAACACCUGAGGCGAAGGUGGGUUGCUGGGCCGACACUGACGCUGAUGCGCGAAAGCCAGGGGAGCAAACG